rnacentral:lncRNA from 1 species
AGGAUGGUUAAGAAAAAUAUCUGGGGUUAAAACAUUGUAAAACUUUUUCUUCAUACCUGCAGGGUGUUGUAAAAAUUCACUGUGUACCGUAAUCAGGGAAAUAUAUGAUCAAGAGUAGAGAUCCUUUCUUCUCAAUCUUGUCACUUGGAGUUUUUGUUAUAUUUUUGAAAAGAAAUUCAGCAUACCUUUAUCCUCAUAGGUUCUCUCAGGUCACUCAUUUAUCUUUUACAUAUCUCACUGAGGUUGUCUUAAUUUGCAAAAAUUCUCAAGCAUACUUACCUUGCAUUUAUUGCCUAAUCAAAACGGGAUCCAAGGACAAGAAUGCCAUACUCUUAGAUCAAAGACUUUGGAAACUAAAAACUUGUCAACUCUUGCUGGCAUAUUGCUUAUUAGAGGGACCAUAGGCUAUCAUUUUCUUUCUUUUUCUCUCUCUUUCUUUUUUUUAAUACCGAGGUACCCCUAAUUUUACUGCCGGACACUUGUUCAUUUUUUCUGCGAGGUUAUCGAGCACUUGCUCCUUUUCAUUUCCUCGAAAUAUCCUUAUUUUUGCAUAGCCCAUGCCUCUAAUGCAAUAAUACUUCGGAAGAUUGAAAGCCCUAGUUUGGUUUUGGAUAAUUGAUGAAACCUAUGUGUACUAACCUUUGUCAUGAGUGAAAUAUAAAGAUAGGUUGGUACACACCACGUGAUGGAGCUAG